rnacentral:rRNA from 1 species
AUUGAACGCUGGCGGCAGGCCUAACACAUGCAAGUCGAGCGGGGUUUUCGGACCUAGCGGCGGACGGGUGAGUAAUGCGUAGGAAGCUGCCCGAUAGAGGGGGAUACCAGUUGGAAACGACUGUUAAUACCGCAUAAUGUCUACGGACCAAAGUGUGGGACCUUCGGGCCACAUGCUAUCGGAUGCGCCUACGUGGGAUUAGCUAGUUGGUGAGGUAAUGGCUCACCAAGGCGACGAUCUCUAGCUGGUUUGAGAGGAUGAUCAGCCACACUGGAACUGAGACACGGUCCAGACUCCUACGGGAGGCAGCAGUGGGGAAUAUUGGACAAUGGGCGCAAGCCUGAUCCAGCCAUGCCGCGUGUGUGAAGAAGGCCUUCGGGUUGUAAAGCACUUUCAGCGAGGAGGAAGGGUUGUGUGUUAAUAGUACACAGCUUUGACGUUACUCGCAGAAGAAGCACCGGCUAACUCUGUGCCAGCAGCCGCCGCAGUA